UGGGGAAUAUUGGACAAUGGGGGAAACCCUGAUCCAGCGACGCCGCGUGUGUGAAGAAGGCCUGCGGGUUGUAAAGCACUUUCGGUGGGAACGAAAUGUGCCGACCUAAUACGUCGGCAAGCUGACGUUACUCAAUGAAGAAGCACCGGCUAACUCUGUGCCAGCAGCCGCGGUAAUACAGAGGGUGCAAGCGUUAAUCGGAAUUACUGGGCGUAAAGCGCACGUAGGCGGCUAUGUAAGUCGGAUGUGAAAUCCCCGGGCUUAACCUGGGAACCGCAUUCGAGACUGCAUGGCUUGAGUACUGGAGAGGACAGCGGAAUUCCCGGUGUAGCGGUGAAAUGCGUAGAUAUCGGGAGGAACAUCAGUGGCGAAGGCGGCUGUCUGGCCAAGUACUGACGCU
rnacentral:rRNA from 1 species